ACACGUGUGCUUGAAUGUGUACUCGCAGGCGUUCAAGGGUUCUAUGCGAUGCUAAGAUCAUCUCCUGAAUUGAGGACCAAUCCGACGUCUCCCGCUCCACAGUAUCAAAUUAGAUCAGGUGUGAGGUUUCCUGUGUGGCACGACGGGGAAAGCUUGUUGGUUUAAGAUAUUCGAGAGGAGUAGCGAGUCGGUUAUGAUUCGGGCUGUCCGGGCAGAGCUUCCGUUCGGCGAUGCAUUCGGUGCAAGAAGGUGUAUUUGUGGGUCGUUACCGUGAUCCAUGCUGUAACCUUGGAAAUACGUGCUAACGUGAUAGCAGACGGAAAUUUAAGGUGCAAUGAGAAGUAACACUUCACCCAUGUAAGAGGAAUCCGUAAAUGACGUCGGGAAUCCUGAAAAUGUUGGGAAAAGGCAGCAGAGACGAAGUGGUAUUAGCCCGAAAACGUGGUCAACAAAUGCUAGAAUCGAUGUGUGUACAUGCAGAAGCUCCAGCACACGUGAAAAUAACAGUAGAAACAGUGCACUCGAUUAUCUUCACAUGUCUUCCCCCUUCAAUCUUGCUGCUCAGGGUCAAUUUUCCAACCCCUUGUCCUUCGCCAACAUCUACGGCUUAAUGUCUAAGGUCAUCUUUCCUUUCAUACUCUAGAGGCAGCAGCAAUAAAAGAUUAUUCUCACAUGAAA